rnacentral:rRNA from 1 species
UAAGGAAUAUUGGUCAAUGGACGCAAGUCUGAACCAGCCAUGCCGCGUGAAGGAUGAAGGUCCUCUGGAUUGUAAACUUCUUUUAUAUGGGACGAAACCCGGGUAUUCCUACCCGAUUGACGGUACCAUAGGAAUAAGCACCGGCUAACUCCGUGCCAGCAGCCGCGGUAAUACGGAGGGUGCAAGCGUUAUCCGGAUUCACUGGGUUUAAAGGGUGCGUAGGAGGGCAGGUAAGUCAGUGGUGAAAUCGUCGAGCUUAACUCGGAAACUGCCGUUGAUACUAUCUGUCUUGAAUACCGUGGAGGUGAGCGGAAUAUGUCAUGUAGCGGUGAAAUGCUUAGAUAUGACAUAGAACACCGAUUGCGAAGGCAGCUCACUACACGAAUAUUGACUCUGAGGCACGAAAGCGUGGGGAUCAAACAGG